UAUUGCGCAAUGGGGGCAACCCUGACGCAGCCAUGCCGCGUGUGUGAAGAAGGCCUUCGGGUUGUAAAGCACUUUCAGUGGGGAGGAAAGGGCGCUGGCCAAUACCCAGCGCAGUUGACGUUACCCACAGAAGAAGCACCGGCUAAUUCCGUGCCAGCAGCCGCGGUAAUACGGAAGGUGCGAGCGUUAAUCGGAAUUACUGGGCGUAAAGCGCGCGUAGGCGGCUUGGUAAGUCGGGUGUGAAAGCCCCGGGCUCAACCUGGGAAUUGCAUUCGAUACUGCUGGGCUGGAGUACGAGAGAGGGGGGUGGAAUUCCAGGUGUAGCGGUGAAAUGCGUAGAUAUCUGGAGGAACACCGGUGGCGAAGGCGGCCCCCUGGCUCGAUACUGACGCUGAGGUGCGAAAGCGUGGGGAGCAAACAGG
rnacentral:rRNA from 1 species